rnacentral:rRNA from 1 species
GAACGCUGGCGGCGUGCCUAAUACAUGCAAGUAGAACGCUGAAGGAGGAGCUUGCUUCUCUGGAUGAGUUGCGAACGGGUGAGUAACGCGUAGGUAACCUGCCUGGUAGCGGGGGAUAACUAUUGGAAACGAUAGCUAAUACCGCAUAAUAGUAGAUGUUGCAUGACAUUUGCUUAAAAGGUGCAAUUGCAUCACUACCAGAUGGACCUGCGUUGUAUUAGCUAGUUGGUGGGGUAACGGCUCACCAAGGCGACGAUACAUAGCCGACCUGAGAGGGUGAUCGGCCACACUGGGACUGAGACACGGCCCAGACUCCUACGGGAGGCAGCAGUAGGGAAUCUUCGGCAAUGGACGGAAGUCUGACCGAGCAACGCCGCGUGAGUGAAGAAGGUUUUCGGAUCGUAAAGCUCUGUUGUAAGAGAAGAACGAGUGUGAGAGUGGAAAGUUCACACUGUGACGGUAUCUUACCAGAAAGGGACGGCUAACUACGUG